rnacentral:rRNA from 1 species
GCGGGUGCUAACGUCCGUCGUGAAGAGGGAAACAACCCAGACCGCCAGCUAAGGUCCCAAAGUCAUGGUUAAGUGGGAAACGAUGUGGGAAGGCCCAGACAGCCAGGAUGUUGGCUUAGAAGCAGCCAUCAUUUAAAGAAAGCGUAAUAGCUCACUGGUCGAGUCGGCCUGCGCGGAAGAUGUAACGGGGCUAAACCAUGCACCGAAGCUGCGGCAGCGACGCUGAUGCGUUGUUGGGUAGGGGAGCGUUCUGUAAGCCUGUGAAGGUGGCCUGUGAGGGUUGCUGGAGGUAUCAGAAGUGCGAAUGCUGACAUAAGUAACGAUAAAGCGGGUGAAAAGCCCGCUCGCCGGAAGACCAAGGGUUCCUGUCCAACGUUAAUCGGGGCAGGGUGAGUCGACCCCUAAGGCGAGGCCGAAAGGCGUAGUCGAUGGGAAACGGGUUAAUAUUCCCGUACUUGGUGUUACUGCGAAGGGGGGACGGAGAAGGCUAUGUUGGCCGGGCGACGGUUGUCCCGGUUUAAGCGUGUAGGUGUGUGUUCCAGGUAAAUCCGGUUCACUUUAACACUGAGGCGUGAUGACGAGGCACUACGGUGCUGAAGCAACAAAUGCCCUGCUUCCAGGAAAAGCCUCUAAGCAUCAGGUAACAUCAAAUCGUACCCCAAACCGACACAGGUGGUCAGGUAGAGAAUACCAAGGCGCUUGAGAGAACUCGGGUGAAGGAACUAGGCAAAAUGGUGCCGUAACUUCGGGAGAAGGCACGCUGACACGUAGGUGAAGUGAUUUACUCA